rnacentral:rRNA from 1 species
AACGAACGCUGGCGGCAUGCCUAACACAUGCAAGUCGAACGAGAUCUUCGGGUCUAGUGGCGCACGGGUGCGUAACGCGUGGGAAUCUGCCCUUUGGUUCGGAAUAACAGUUGGAAACGACUGCUAAUACCGGAUGAUGACGAAAGUCCAAAGAUUUAUCGCCAGAGGAUGAGCCCGCGUAGGAUUAGCUAGUGUGUGUGGUAAAGGCGCACCAAGGCGACGAUCCUUAGCUGGUCUGAGGGGAUGAUCAGCCACACUGGGACUGAGACACGGCCCAGACUCCUACGGGAGGCAGCAGUGGGGAAUAUUGGACAAUGGGCGAAAGCCUGAUCCAGCAAUGCCGCGUGAGUGAUGAAGGCCUUAGGGUUGUAAAGCUCUUUUACCCGGGAUGAUAAUGACAGUACCGGGAGAAUAAGCUCCGGCUAACUCCGUGCCAGCCGCCGCCGUAA